rnacentral:tRNA from 1 species
GUUAGCAUAGUUUAAAUAAGACAUUAUAUUGUGGAUCUAAAAAUGGAGGUUAAAAUCCUCCUGCUGACC